rnacentral:lncRNA from 1 species
GCAUCUCACGAUGUUCGGCGGCGCCCGGGGCCCUAGAUGGCGCCCGCUCGGCCGCCCUGAGUAGUCCGACCGCUCAGCGGUCCUGACGCCGGUGGCGCCCUGCAGUACGAGACGCAAUGGGGCUCCACGGCCUCGACACUCGGCUCUGAGGGCGCGUGCGGCCCGUGGUUCCCACGCGGCUCAGCCCUGCGAUGCGGUGCCCGCGCUCCGCGCGCGCACAGAGCAGCGAGCGGGUGGCUCACGCGGCUGUGGCCCUGAGCGGCUCGCGCGGUGGUGGGCAUGGCGAUCCCGUGCGGCUCGGGCGCAUGGCUGGCCGGCUCGCCGCGGAGAUCGGGCGCGAUGCGGAGGCCUCGGCUCGGUGGCGCUCGGUGACCUGUGGCCCCAGCGCGCGAGCGGCAGGCGGCCCCAAGGCUUCGGAGAGCCCCACGCCCCGGCCACGCACGGUGAGUCGAUGCGCCGGUCAACUGUGAACCCUGCUCCCAUGCGCACUGCAAGAUGUUCGACUAUGUUAUUGUGCUGAAGCUUUGGUAGAAUCUGAACUUCGUUUUUACGUAGCUCAUAUUGACUCAUACUUGGUGGUAGCUUUUGCUCUGAACUUGAAGUAACUGAAUGUUUUUUUAUUGUGACAUGAUUGCCAUGUAGUUGACCGUGAAGGAACCAAACAGACGUCCAAUGAUUAUAUAUAAUAAAGUGCCCAAAGGGACUUUUGUUCGAUUUGGUUCUAGACUCCUCACCAAAUUAAAGUUACCUUGUAUAAAGUGGCCAAAGGGCCUUGUUCAAUUUGAUUCUCAAGUGAGAAGUUAUUUGUGGCAUUCCUUAACUGAGAAAAACUCAGAUUCUGAAACCUACUGCAGCCAAAAGAAUUGAAACAUCAUCAGGACAUGUACAUCACCUAUAUACAUACUAGCCUCAGAGACAAUGAUACAGAGGGACAUACCUUUGGUCAUCCUGAGGAUCUGAGAGAUUCUGAAAGGACCUUAGAACUUCCUCUUCAGCACCCUGAAAUAGCAUAAUUGGUGCAUGGGUUUGCAAUUUUGCAUGAUUAUAAGCACAUAUGUAUGUAUAGUAUACCCCAGCAGAGGUUGGAGCAGCUGCGCUGUUGAUAACUUGCACGAGAGGAGGCGGGAGCUGUCGAGGUGGCUGACGAUGGGGAACAGCUGGAGGUAGAAGGCGUGGGGUAGGAUAUAACAGGGGUGUAUAUAAAUAUUGUUUUGUGCCCACGACUAAACCAAAUUAAAUUACUUAUCUUUGCUCAAUCGUUUUCUAUUUUCUGCAUUUUUAGACAUUUUGUCAUACACACUGUCCAGUUGUCAUUAACUUAUCAAUAACAUUGCAUCCUUUUUCAUCCAUAUCCACAAUUUUUGUUCUUAUUAAAUCGAAACCUUAGCUCAACAUAUAGUGGAAAGAGGUUUGGCAUGGAUUUUAUUCAACAAUCUCUUUCUGUUUUUUUAAAAUAUAUUCUGAACAUUAGACUGUUGUCUUAGUGAUUACAAUGGGCAUAAACAGUCAUUUCUAUGCUCUAGAGGUUGUAUUUCUUCUAUCAAAAAAUUUCUUAUUUAAUAUUGCUCUUCUAAAAGUAAUUUUAUUUAAUUAAACUAUCGAUGCAUAUACAUAUUAUAAUAUUUCUAACAAAUGUAUAUUUUUCUCGAAACAAAUAAAAACAUAUGUUGUGCUGCUUUAUGAAAUCCUCACAAUACUUUUACUGUUUUUUCUUCAGAUCCCUCAUUAAAGCUGAGAUUUAUCUGGGAUAGAUCAGCGAGCUGUUGAUGAUUCCAUGGUAGGUAUUUGAAUUCUUUCUAAACUAUUUUUUUUGCUGUACUUAGAUGCUUAUGGAUUAGGUAGAGUGCUGAUUAACUGGUUGUGCAGUAAUAUCCACAAUGCACUUUGUGCAGUAAUAUCCACAAUGAACUUUCAUCGGAGCAUUGAAUCAUGAAAGACAAGCUCUACACAGAUGAUGACGGCAAAGGACUUCAGCCCUAAAGCAUGUUGAAUGUUUGAUGUUGGAUGCUCGAUUAGUACAAUUUGUUAGAUGAUGGACUUGUUGGACUCCUUUAUUAUGGUUUAUGUGAUAUAUAUGUGGAUUUGUGUGAUAUAUAUGUGGAUUUGUGUGAUAUAUGUGAAUUCUAGUUAUAUAAUCAUAUAUGUAAUUUGAUUGUUGUGAUGCAAAACAAAAAAAAGAGAUCAAAAUUUUACUUAUUCCAGCUUUGCCACCUGCCACGUGAAAAGCAGGUGGCAAAGCUGGAAUCUCAUGAACAAUGACAGCUUUGCCAUCUGCCAAAAAAGACAGUCGACAAAGAGUCCUUUGCCACCUGCCAAAAAAAGCAGUCGGCAAAGAGCCCUUUGCCACCUGCCAAUAAAAGCAGUUGGCAAAGAAUCCUUUGCCACCUGCCAAAAAAGCCAGUCGGCAAAGAAUUUCUGUUUUGAAAAAAAAUAAAAAAAACCUUUGCCACCUGCCAAUAAAAGCAGUCGGCAAAGAAAUUCUAUUAUAAAAAAAUAAGAAAAGUCUUUGCCGACUGCCGCGUGGCAGUCGGCAAACGGGAUGCGC